CCUACGGGUGGCAGCAGUGGGGAAUAUUGCACAAUGGGCGAAAGCCUGAUGCAGCAACGCCGCGUGAGCGAUGAAGGCCUUCGGGUCGUAAAGCGCUGUCCUCAAGGAAGAUAAUGACGGUACUUGAGGAGGAACCCCCGGCUAACUACGUGCCAGCAGCCGCUGUAAUACGUAGUGCGCUCGCGUUAUCCGGAAUUACUGGGCGUAAAGGGUGCGUAGGUGGUUUGUUAAGUCAGAGGUGAAAGGCUAGGGCUCAAACUUAGGAAGCCUUGGAAACUUGGGAACUUGAGUGCAGGAGAGGAGAGUGGAAUUCCAAGUGAAGCGGUGAAAUGCGUAGAUAUAAGGAGGAACACCAGUGGCGAAGGCGGCUCUCUGGACUGUAACUGACACUGAGGCACGAAAGCGUGGGGAGCAAACAGGAUUAGAUACCCGAGUAGUC
rnacentral:rRNA from 1 species